UAAGGAGUCAAGAUGGACGGUCUAUGAAGGCCACAAAUAGUGGCUGUCGUUCCCUACAUUUCUCCUGCAAUAUUAACCAUUGGUAAUUACAGCAGUAAUUGGUCACUAGCUUUGACACGGAAGGUCCGUAUUCACCUCUCACAUUAAAAUGGUAGCAAGUGCUAGGAAAGAUUCUUGUUUGAGAACUCAACACACUUUUAAACAGAAGAAAUAGCACUAGGAGAGGUGGAUCAACAGUCUUAAUUCAGUAUUAGACCAUCUCUUAUGCAUUCAUAAUAUUUAACAGUGCUUAACCUUGGCAGAAUACUUUCCGUAGCAUGCUUCGUAUGUGGGAUAAGUGUGUGUAACUGCAUGUGUAGAUUAGGUGGAGGACAGCUGUACAUAUAUUCUUCUGUCUUAGUAAUAAAUAAAAAUAUAAAAUUAGGACACGUUUUUUUCUGAUUUUUUUUCUAGAAAGCAAAAAGUGUAGAGGACCAUACAUUACCUAUCCCUCCCUUAGAGAAAUAUUGCUCUUCUUUCGUCGGAAUUUGAGAUCCGUGCUACAAUACUGGUGACAAAUUAUGACUCUUAUGUGUAUCAUUUCAUAUUAAUAAAUGAGGAAAACAGGAAUACUUUUGUAGGGAUCCCCACCAAGAUUAACUGUUGGAGCUCCCUUUCUUCAGAACAGAAGGAUGUUCGAUCUGAGGACCUUAGAUUACCUCUCUCUCAGAUGACUGAUGGGCUAAAGAGUGUGGCACCUCUUUGUGGAAAUGAGCCCCCAUUUUUUGUUCCACAACUUACUCUGUGACUUGCAGAGCCAUCCAGUUUGUGCCUGAAUGCAGACAGAUAAUUUUGUAAAUUAUGGCUGAAUAUAUACCUACCUAUGUACAGUAAAUUGUCCUGUAACAUACAGGGGUGUGUGUCUGUGCAUGCGUGCGUGUCUGUGUGUGUGUGUGAGAGAGAGAAAGAG
rnacentral:lncRNA from 1 species